UACGUAGGGGGCAAGCGUUGUCCGGAUUUACUGGGUGUAAAGGGCGCGUAGGCGGGUUUGUGAGUCAGUGGUGAAAUCCUGCGGCUUAACUGCAGAACUGCCAUUGAUACUGCAAAUCUUGAGUUCAGAAGAGAGAAGCGGAAUUCCAGGUGUAGUGGUGAAAUACGUAGAUAUCUGGAAGAACACCAGUGGCGAAGGCGGCUUCUUGGUCUGUAACUGACGCUGAGGCGCGAAAGCGUGGGGAU
rnacentral:rRNA from 1 species